ensembl:lncRNA
CCAUAGCCACCCCAUAAAGACCCCAUAGCCACCCCAUAGAGAUGCCAUAGACACCCCAUACAGACCCCAUAUCCCAUAGAGAUCCCAUAGAGACCCCAUAGAGAUCCCAUACAGCCCCAUAGCCACCCCAUAGAGAAGCCAUAGCCACCCCAUAGAGAUGCCAUAGAGAUCCUAUAAAAAUCCCAUAGAGACCCCAUAGAGACCCCAUAUCCAGCCCAUAGAGAUCCCAUAGCCACCCCAUACAGAUCCCAUAGAGACCCCGUAGAGACCCCAUAGAGACCCCGUAGAGACCCCAUAGAGACCCCAUAGCCACCCCAUAGAGACCCCAUAGCCACCCCAUAGCCACCCCAUAGAGACCCCGUAGAGACCCCAUAGAGACCCCAUAGCCACCCCAUAGAGAUCCAUAGCCACCCCAUAGAGACCCCAUACCCACCCCAUUGGGAUCCCAUAGAGUCCCUAUAGAGCCCCAUAGCCACCCCAUAGAGAAGCCAUAGGCACCCCAUAGAGACCCCAUAACCCAUAGAGAUCCCAUAGAGACCCCAUAGAGAUCCCAUAGACACCCCAUAGCCACCCCAUAGAGAUGCCAUAGAGACCCUAUAGAGAUCCAUAGUCACCCCAUAGAGAUCCCAUAGAGACCCCAUAGAGACCCCAUAGCCACCCCAUAGAGACCCCAUAGCCACCCCAUAGAGACCCCAUAUCCAGCCCAUAGAGACCCUAUAGCCACCCCAUAGAGGCCCUAUAUCCGGCCCAUAGAGAUCCCAUAGAGAUCCUUAGCCACCCCAUAGAGACCCCAUAGCCACCCCAUAGAGACCCCAUAGCCACCCCAUAGAGAUGCCAUAGACACCCCAUACAGACCCCAUAUCCCAUAGAGAUCCCAUAGAGACCCCAUAGAGAUCCCAUACAGCCCCAUAGCCACCCCAUAGAGAAGCCAUAGCCACCCCAUAGAGAUGCCAUAGAGAUCCUAUAAAGAUCCCAUAGAGACCCCAUAGAGACCCCAUAUCCAGCCCAUAGAGAUCCCAUAGCCACCCCAUACAGAUCACAUAGAGACCCCAUAGAGACCCCGUAGAGACCCCAUAGAUACCCCAUAGCCACCCCAUAGAGGCCCUAUAUCCGGCCCAUAGAGAUCCCAUAGAGAUCCAUAGCCACCCCAUAGAGAUGCCAUAGAGACCCCAUAGAGAUCCAUAGCCACCCCAUAGAGAUGCCAUAGACACCCCAUACAGACCCCAUAUCCCAUAGAAAUCCCAUAGAGACCCCAUAGCCACCCCAUAGCCACUCCAUAGAGACCCCGUAUCCGGCCCAUAGAGACCCCAUAGCCACCCCAUAGAGACCCCAUAGCCACCCCAUAGAGAUGCCAUAGAGACCCUAUAGAGAUCCAUAGUCACCCCAUAGAGAUCCCAUAGAGACCCCAUAGAGACCCCAUAGCCACCCCAUAGAGACCCUAUAGCCACCCCAUAGAGGCCCUAUAUCCGGCCCAUAGAGAUCCCAUAGAGAUCCAUAGCCACCCCAUAGAGAUGCCAUAGACACCCCAUAGAGACCCCAUAUCCCAUAGAGAUCCCAUAGAGACCCCAUAGCCACCCCAUAGAGACCC